UUUCCGUAGGUGAACCUGCGGAAGGACCAUUAAAAAUGAAGCCGGGAAACCGGUCCUUCUAACCCUUGAUUAUCUUAAUUUGUUGCUUUGGUGGGCCGCGCAAGCACCGGCUUCGGCUGGAUCGUGCCCGCCAGAGGACACAACUCUGUAUCAAAUGUCGUCUGAGUACUAUAAAAUAGUUAAAACUUUCAGCAACGGAUCUCUUGGUUCUG
rnacentral:misc_RNA from 1 species